AUCAACAGCGUUCAUUUACGACGACGACGACGAUGAAGCAACGUCAUCUAUUCAUUCGAUACAUUGAAGUCGCAACAUCCGCGACGAUAUACGCGGACUGCGAGUACCAAAUUCACAUAAUGACAAAAUUAUUUGAAUUGUAUUGACUAUUAAUUAUUCAAAAAAGAAUAUACAAAGCAUUUAAUAAAUGUCAUUAAUAUGAAUAUUAGUAUUAUUAGUAUAAAAGUAUAAAUAUUAGUAUCAAAAGUAAUAAAGAAGUUAUUUUUUCUUACAUGCAUACAACAUAUAAAUUCAUAUAGAUAUUAUUUUUACUACUAUAUAGUUCUUUUAAUGGUGCUGCGGCUUGAUAAACUAACACAAGAUCUUUAUAUAAAUGUUGUGCUGUGCAACAAAAUAUUUUCAGAAAUCUCGUCACAUCUCGGACUUUAUUUAAUAAAUUGUACGUAGGAUAACUUCAUCUAUAAGCAUCGAAUUCAUAAUUUCUUUUUUUGCUAGAGAAGAGAAAAGGAAUAUUAUCUGAAAUAAUAAGAAAUGCUUUUGGCGUACUUUAAACAUAUAAUAUAUUCAUUUAUAUGCUUGUACAUGUCUUGUAUUUGUUUUAUACAACAAAAUAUCUAUGACAACAAUACAGUUGAGAACGGUAUACAAUAUAUCGUUAUGCCGGUAUGUUAUUCAUAAAUACGAGAUGUAAGACAGCCUCAUUUUCUUAAGACGUAAUCGUGUUUCGUGUUAGUGUAAAAUACAAUCUCUUGAUUACUCUGGUAUCCAGUCUUUCGAUAUAGCAUUUUCUUCGUUUUUCCGCGUAUGGUAUGUGAAUUUGAUAUAAUGAAGUUGUUUCUGAUAAGAGAUGAAAUCGACAUUGUCCAUCGACGUUACUCGCUCUCACAAAUUAUUAAACUAACGAAUCUCGAUGGAAUGUAUAAUAUGUAUGUAUUGUAGAAAAAAAUCAAUUAUUUAAUUAAAUAAAAUAUAUGUCUCGUUCAAAGAUUAUUAUUGUACUUAAAUCUGCCAUCCUAAAUUACACUUCAAUGAAUAUGCAAAUAACCAAAGUAUUAUGUAUGUACUUACACGAGUACUUUCGCUCGUAAGAACAUUAUAAAAUAGGCCAAUCGGUUCGCAACUCGCAUGGUUUUACGAGCGAGCGCUUCUCUAAAGAUAAAUCCCGAAGCGAUUAUCGCUCAUUAACUCUUUAACGAGAGAGUUCCGUUAGUGAAAAAAUAUGCUAUUUACAUGUAAAAUAUCUAAUUGUGCGUCGAUUCAUUUAAUUCGCCGUUUGGAGUGUAUCAAAAUCUACUUAAUGGAAUAAUGAAAACUUCAUGCUGCCGUUAUUUACAGAUUUUUUUCAUAUACGUACGCAUAGAUAUCUGUAUAUGUAUAUAUCUCUGAUUGUGAGAGUUCACUCAGAGAAUCGUAAUGUAAAUGCAACGAACACAGAGAAUUAUGCGAUGUGAAAUAGAGUAGUAUCGAAUCAUGUUAACAGGUAAUAAAUAUUGAGGAAAUAUUGCUAUUUUGUGAUGAGCGUCGGUAAUUAUAAAAAGCAAGUGUAUAAACGGCAGUAGAGACUUAUAUCUAGAAAAUAUCGAAAUACUGUCGCGUCCUGUACGUUUGAGCGUGAUAACGACGUGUUUCGUUUAACUAACAAGUGCUUCGAUUCUGACUGGUUUCUUUUUCGAGGAACACGCAAAUUCUAGAUUCGAUAAACCACUAAGUUUUCAAAAGUAAAAAAUGAAAAGAUGUUUGUAAAAUAAAAAUAAGAUGAAUGCAUAUAAAGGUUUUUCCUGAUUGGGGCAGAUAUUCGUUUUGUGAUCAGGUUUGUUCUUCCUGAUUAGAUAUUUCGCAGAUCUUUAUGUCUGAAUAUCUUACGAAGUUAUUAUCUUGUAUAAUCAUUCUAUUGUAUCUGUGCGAGUAGUUUUAUGUAGUAAUAUAAUAAAUCUAGAUUUCUAAACCUUGAUAUCAAGAAAUUAAAUUAAAUUAUUGAAGCAAUUAAAGUAUAAUAGUUAAACAUUUAUUAAUAUAUGUCUCACUAUCUUCUGGGAUUUAUUGUCCGAGAAA
rnacentral:lncRNA from 1 species